UUAAUAUUUGGUAUUGGAGAGUUGUCUGUCCCUAACCUUCAGCCAUUUUUCGGAGUGAAAGCACACAGGACUUAGUCUUAAAAAGUAGAAGGCAAAAUGGCUGGUAAAGCGAAAAUGAUGACGGGAUUGACCUUUGCAAGUCUUAAACAGCACAACUCUUUGAUUCCUUUGUUUUUCUUUACUGGCAUUGGAUUUGCUGGAGCAAUGGGCUACUUAUUUCGAUUAGCUUCUAGAUGCCCAGAUGUGAGUUGGAACAAAACCUCAAACCCAUUACCAUGGCAACAGUGGAAGCCAACCGAUCAGUACAAGUUUUAUUCACCAUCAAGAGACUACUCCAAGGAAAGAUUCCCAGCUGAACGACCCCAAAUUGACUAAAUAAUCUUACUGACAGUAUAGUUAAUACCGGUAUUUAAAAUUAAGAAUGGAUAUGAAUGAAGAAAUAAACUAAAUUUUAUGAUUAAUUGACCAUUAAAAAUACUUUUGAAAGCAUUUAAUAUUCUCUUUUGACCUUUAUCAGUUAAUGGUGCUUUUUUGGUUUUUUGUUUAGUUUUACAAUUUGAGAUAUUUGAGUUCUGACUCAUCCCCAAGCGCACAAAUCUUGGUUUCUCAAUUUACAAUAUUUUGGGUAUUUUUCUUUUUUCUUGUCCAUCUAUACAGAAUAGAUUAUAUAAAUUAUGGUUUGUAAAUAUUCAGCUACCUGUAUCUAGAAUAAAUGUGUUUUACUGAU